GUGGGCAUGGUGGGGAUGGGUUGGGGUUGGCCUGGAUGAUCUUCGAGGUCUUUUCCAGCCUUAAUGAUUC
rnacentral:miRNA from 7 species